AGUAUUCGCAAUUCAACAUCGAGGUCGCAAACAAUCAUUUUAAUAAGGGCUUUAAUGAUUAUAACGCUGUUAUCCCUAGAGUACCUUUUUCAUUUAGUUUAGUUAAGAUCAAUUUAAAUCAAAAUAUUUUUAUUUUUAUUUACCCCAAAUAAAUUUCUUAUGUAAUCAAGAAAUAAAGGUUCAUAGGGCCUUCUCGUC
rnacentral:rRNA from 1 species